UAUAUACUUCCUCCGUUCCAAAUUACUUGUCUUAAAAAUGGAUAAAAAUGGAUGUAUCUAUAACUAAAAUACAUCUAGAUACAUCCAUUUCUGUGACAAGUAAUUCCGAACGGAGGAAGUAUAUA
rnacentral:pre_miRNA from 1 species